AUGCGGCGCGCGUACGCUCUGGUUCCUCCGCGCCGUCCGCACCCACCCGAGGACGGCGCGCUACGUUGCCAGCC
rnacentral:sRNA from 1 species